GUAUAGUUUGAACUCCCGAAACUAGACGAGCUACUUAAAAACAGCCUAAUGGGCAAACCCUUCUCUGUUGCAAAAGAGUGGGAAGAUUUUUAAGUAGGGGUGAUAUACCUACCGAGCCUAGAGAUAGCUGGUUAUUCAAGAAAAGAAUAUAAGUUCUGCCUUAAGUCACGAAAUGCAUAAAUCAUAAAACAACUUCUUAAGAGUUAUUCAAGUAAGGUACAGCCUACUUGACUCAGGAUACAACCAAAACUAUAGGGUAAUACUUUAUACCCGCACCAAAGUGGGCCUAAAAGCAGCCACCUUUUAAAAAGCGUCAUAGCUUAACUUCCAUACUAAUUAAUACCAAAAAACACUUAAACCCCAUUAUUAGUAUUGAAUAAUUUUAUAAAAU
rnacentral:rRNA from 1 species